AGUGAACGCUGGCGGCGUGCUUAACACAUGCAAGUCGAACGAGAACGGAUUAUAGCUUGCUAUAAUUGUCAGCUAAGUGGCGCACGGGUGAGUAAUAUAUAGAUAACCUGCCCUCUAGAAAGGAAUAACAGUUGGAAACGACUGCUAAUGCCCUAUAUGCCUUUAAUACAUAAGUAUGCAAGGGAAACGCUUUAGUGCUAGAGGAUGGGUCUGUAUGGUAUCAGCUUGUUGGUGAGGUAAUGGCUCACCAAGGCUAUGACGCCUAACUGGUUUGAGAGGAUGAUCAGUCACACUGGAACUGAGACACGGUCCAGACUCCUACGGGAGGCAGCAGUGGGGAUAUUGCACAAUGGACGAAAGUCUGAUGCAGCAACGCCGCGUGGAGGAUGACACAUUUCGGUGCGUAAACUCCUUUAUAUAGAAGAUAAUGACGGUACUAUAUGAAUAAGCACCGGCUAACUCCGU
rnacentral:rRNA from 1 species